GUAUGUGAGUGCAAUCUGGCUGCAACAUCUGUCACCCCAUUGAUUGCCAGGGCUGAUUCCGUUGAUUUGGCUGCCUAGGCAGGUGUCUCCUUCCUCCCUCACCACUACAUGUGCAUCCCUUCUAAAGUUGCACACUCAGUCAAAGAGGAUGACCUUCCCUGCUAGAGGAGGACUGUUCUUCAGUUCAAGGGUAUACAAGCAGCUGCACUCCCCUGCUAGAACCUCUGAACAAGCUCUCAAAGUGUAUAAUCAAUGGUGGGGUUUUUUUAGCUGUUAAAAAAUCCUUUAUUGUAAAAAUGUAAAAUAAAUAGAAAGAUAGAUUGAAAGAAAUUACAAAUUU
rnacentral:snRNA from 1 species